rnacentral:lncRNA from 1 species
UCUCCCUUUCCUUCUUGAUCUCCCCAAUGACUUCGUUCCAUGUCCUCUUUCUCAUAGUCGAGUUCCGGGAGGUAUUUCUUCUGGUGAAUUGGUAAUUAGUGACCGAACACUAUGCGUGCUGGAAUCGGGGAAGGUGGGAAUCCGGGUAGGGUUUUUGGAUUAGGGUUCGUAGUUUUAUGAUUCCUCUUUGAUUGUCUUCUCGAGCAUUUUUUGUGGUUGGUUUGAACAUUUAAUCUAUUUAUACUGCCUUCUGAAGACUCAUGGGAACUGCUGUCGAAAGGCGUAUGGCUUAAAAGUUAGUUAAAUAAUUGUGCGUUGAUGGUCAGAAAUUUAAUUUGCUUGGCUUUGGCCAGGUGAGGAGCAGAUUUUUUUCUUAUGUUAUUUUUUUUAAAAAAAAUAGGUUGGUGUGAGAAUUGUGUGUCAUACCUUGGAUGCUUGAGUUGGGGUUAGGGUGAUGGUAGCUCUAUGGGGCUUUGAACUUGUUGUAUCUGUAAUUGGAUUUAGUGAGGAAAGGAGCAAUCUGUUCAUAAUUAAGAGAGUUACUUCUAACAUGAAGAUGUGGAUGAAUGAAACUGUUGAGCUAGUGGCAUAGUGAAGGCAUAUGGUUAUAUAUGAUAUUAUGCUGAUAGAAAUUGCUCGUGGUCUAGGUAUUUUAGCCAUAAAAUUGUAUAUUUAAUCAGGGAAUUAUGCUUUAUUUUUUUGUGAAACCAUUGAAUAACCAUUUGGUAUAAUUUUUGUACAAGAUUAAAUCUAGGGCAAAAGACCUCAUCAUCCAUAACCAAU